GACGAACGCUGGCGGCGUGCUUAACACAUGCAAGUCGAACGAUGAAACCUAGCUUGCUAGGUCGAUUAGUGGCGAACGGGUGAGUAACACGUGACUAACCUGCCCCUUUCUCUGGGAUAACGCUCCGAAAGGAGUGCUAAUACCGGAUACUCACUGCGGAGCACAUGCUCUGGAGUGGAAAGUUUUUCGGAAAGGGAUGGAGUCGCGGCCUAUCAGCUGGGUGGUGAGGUAAUGGCUCACCAAGGCGACGACGGGGAGCCGGCCUGAGAGGGCGACCGGCCACACUGGGACUGAGACACGGCCCAGACUCCUACGGGAGGCAGCAGUGGGGAAUAUUGCACAAUGGGCGCAAGCCUGAUGCAGCGACGCCGCGUGAGGAAUGAAGGUCUUCGGAUUGUAAACCUCUUUCAGUAGGGACGAAGCGAAAGUGACGGUACCUAAAGAAGAUGCACCGGCUAACUACGUGCCAGCCGCCGCCGUAA
rnacentral:rRNA from 1 species